CAGGCGUUCUCACUGAGGUCUUGAGAUGAGAAACUCUGCAAAGGGGUGCUAACGUUUUUAUAAUUGACUUCUGAUCAGCCGGAUGCCGAGCAGCAGAGACAGAUGUUGUGGCUCAUUCUGGCUUGUCGCGGGGCUUGCCAACCAUAAUUUGGAACAUUCCCUGCACCUGUGCCCUGUCCUCUCCAGUUACAGACAUGUUUGUACCUGGUGCUGUUGCCGUUCAGGAGCAUGCUUCUUAAAUAAAACUGCAGUAAGCAAAACUGAUGGCCGGAUAAUGUUUGAAGCGAAUGGAGGAAUUGAAACAUGAUAGCUGCAUUCGCACCCCUUCAGGCAGGUUCCCCAGGGAGCGCACUGUGUUACAGUCUUCCCCCAUCCACUCCACAGUUCUGAGAUGCACAGAGAUGAUAACACACUCUGUACGUGAGAUCUUAAAUACCAGUCAGCUGUCGUGUGUGAAUCCCUGGAUGAGUAUUCAGCUCUCCGUCUGCCCUUUCCACGCUUGCUGCCUGCCUACCUGUCUACUCGCCGCCUCAUCUGUCCACAGCAGAAUAGAGCUGUGCCUUUAUCUGACAGCAGCGUCAAGGUCCCGAGA